rnacentral:rRNA from 1 species
CUUAAAUUGAAGAGUUUGAUCAUGGCUCAGAUUGAACGCUGGCGGCAGGCCUAACACAUGCAAGUCGAGCGGAAACGAGUUAUCAGAACCUUCGGGGGACGAUA